rnacentral:misc_RNA from 1 species
UGUGUCGACUCGAAAAUUGUCAGCGUUUCAAAGUCAUCGAUAGAGGAGACGAGUAAUGCGAGAAAAACGUUUGGAACGAGCGCGUUGGAGGACGCGCUAACGAGAGGGUUUAGUGGACCGUUUUUCGUCCAGACGUCCCUAUUUUCUUUAAGAGAACGGUGAAAUAUAUCCACGAGUCGGUUCAUAACUUAUUCGAACACCAAAAUCAUGGAAGUGAUAAUAAUAUCGAUUUCACCAACUACGCUCACGCCACGCAUCCCUAUGAAUUCACAUGGGAGGAUCAAACACGUGAAUGGCAGGAUAUAAACGAGGAGAUACAGAGAAGCAGGACGGGGUCUCG